CCUACGGGAGGCAGCAGUAGGGAAUCUUCCGCAAUGGACGAAAGUCUGACGGAGCAACGCCGCGUGAACGAUGAAGGCCUUCGGGUCGUAAAGUUCUGUUGUUAGGGAAGAACAAGUACCGGAGUAACUGCCGGUACCUUGACGGUACCUAACCAGAAAGCCACGGCUAACUACGUGCCAGCAGCCGCGGUAAUACGUAGGUGGCAAGCGUUGUCCGGAAUUAUUGGGCGUAAAGCGCGCGCAGGCGGUCCUUUAAGUCUGAUGUGAAAGCCCACGGCUCAACCGUGGAGGGUCAUUGGAAACUGGGGGACUUGAGUGCAGAAGAGGAAAGCGGAAUUCCACGUGUAGCGGUGAAAUGCGUAGAGAUGUGGAGGAACACCAGUGGCGAAGGCGGCUUUCUGGUCUGUAACUGACGCUGAGGCGCGAAAGCGUGGGGAGCAAACAGGAUUAGAUACCCUGGUAGUCCACGCCGUAAACGAUGAGUGCUAAGUGUUAGGGGGUUUCCGCCCCUUAGUGCUGCAGCUAACGCAUUAAGCACUCCGCCUGGGGGAGUACGGCCGCAAGGCUGAAAACUCAAAAGGAAUUGACGG
rnacentral:rRNA from 1 species